CUCAUCGCAACUCUCUUUUCCCAUGAAACAGGAAAGAGAAGACUCCGGAAUCCCCUCCCUCAGCAAGGAAGUGGGUGCACUUUCCUGGGAGUCCGGCAAGGGCCUCUUCUCUUUCACACUCUGAGAUUCCAAGGGUAGCAGCCCUCUUCGAGGUGCCUACAGCCUGUCUGUGCAUGGAGGAACCGGCAGAAAAGAGGCUAACACCUGCAAACUACCAAUGAUUCCAAGGGUCUGAUGCAAGACCUCAACCACCCUAGAGAUGACUCAGUGGUCAAGCUGAGCUGAAGGGUGGCCUCUUCUCCAAAGGGAGCAGGAAGACUGUCACUUUUGCCCGAAGCUCACUGGCACAGCUGGAGAGGCUGCCUAUAUGCAGUUUCUCCAGAAACUUGCAGAAGCUUCUUUUUGUCGCUAGGCUUUUGAAGUUGGGCAGCAAUGUACUUUCGUGUGGGUGUUUUCAACCACUGCGGUGUUCCUGCAGCUGCAAGUUCCUGAGGCUUUGAGGGCUCAGAGAUGUGAAUAGACUUGGAUCUCUUAUAGAGAAUCAAAUAGCCUAAGGUCCUAUCUAACUGAGCCCUCUCUGUCAGGUAUCACUCAUCCCUCUGUCCCCAACUUCCAGUAUUGUGUUGCUGUCAUCUCUUCCCGAUAUCUUUCUUAUCAAGUUGAUGUCUUUUAAAAAAUGAUUUGCUGUCCAGAUGCAGUGGUUCAUGCCUGUAAUCCCAACAUUUUGGGAGGCUGAGGUGGGAGGAUCCCUUGAGACCAAGAGUUUGAGAUCAGUCUGGGUGACACAGUGAAAUUCCAUCUCCACAAAAAUAAAACAAGCAGCGGGGCAUGAUGGUGCACUCCCGGAGUCCCAGCUACUUGGAAGGCUGAGGUGGGAGGAUCAAUGGAGCCCAGGAGGUGGAGACUGUGGAACUAUGACUGCACCUCUAAACGCCAGCCUCAAUUACGAAGCAAG